UACGGAGGGUGCGAGCGUUGUCCGGAAUCACUGGGCGUAAAGGGCGCGUAGGCGGCUUGGGAAGUCCGUGGUGAAAGCUCGAGGCUCAACUUCGAGUCGGCCAAGGAUACUCCUAAGCUCGAGUCGACUAGAGGCAGAUGGAAUUCCGGGUGUAGCGGUGGAAUGCGUAGAGAUCCGGAAGAACACCGGUGGCGAAGGCGGUCUGCUGGGGUCGAACUGACGCUGAGGCGCGACAGCGUGGGGAGCAAACAGGG
rnacentral:rRNA from 1 species